rnacentral:tRNA from 1 species
GCGGACGUGGUGGAAUGGUAGACACGCAAGCUUGAGGGGCUUGUGGGCUUAGGCCCGUGUGAGUUCAAGUCUCAUCGUCCGCACCA